ACUCCUACGGGAGGCAGCAGUAGGGAAUCUUCCACAAUGGGCGCAAGCCUGAUGGAGCAACACCGCGUGAGUGAAGAAGGGUUUCGGCUCGUAAAGCUCUGUUGUUAAGGAAGAACACGUAUGAGAGUAACUGUUCAUACGUUGACGGUAUUUAACCAGAAAGUCACGGCUAACUACGUGCCAGCAGCCGCGGUAAUACGUAGGUGGCAAGCGUUAUCCGGAUUUAUUGGGCGUAAAGAGAGUGCAGGCGGUUUUCUAAGUCUGAUGUGAAAGCCUUCGGCUUAACCGGAGAAGUGCAUCGGAAACUGGAUAACUUGAGUGCAGAAGAGGGUAGUGGAACUCCAUGUGUAGCGGUGGAAUGCGUAGAUAUAUGGAAGAACACCAGUGGCGAAGGCGGCUACCUGGUCUGCAACUGACGCUGAGACUCGAAAGCAUGGGGUAGCGAACAGGAUUAGAUACCCUGGUAGGAUAGCG
rnacentral:rRNA from 1 species